rnacentral:rRNA from 1 species
UACGAAGGACCCAAGCGUUAUCCGGAUUUAUUGGGUUUAAAGGGUGCGUAGGCGGAUUGUUAAGUCAGUGGUGAAAGCUCCGAGCCCAACUCGGAAACUGCCAUUGAUACUGAUGAUCUUGAGUACAUUUGAGGUGGGCGGAAUGUGUCAUGUAGCGGUGAAAUGCUUAGAGAUGACACAGAACACCGAUUGCGAAGGCAGCUCACUAAACUGUAACUGACGCUGAGGCACGAAAGCGUGGGGAGCAAAGCAGG